rnacentral:lncRNA from 1 species
ACCAAAUCACAGAUUUAGACUCCUUAUUAGUUUUCAUUUUAUAGCAAUGUCUGUGGUACUCUCAAUUCCCCAAAUAACAAUUCAUUCAAUCACCAAAUCACUCAACUAUGACAUGCUAUAUCAAUCCUCUAAAUUCAUUCCACUCCUGUCAGUUCAUCAAAUACAAUCCUAUUCAUUUCAGUUUCUAGCGAAGUAUCUACCAAGUUCAUUACAGUUGAACAUCACCACUUAGAUAUUGUCCUUAAAUCCUAG